rnacentral:rRNA from 1 species
GACGGAGGAUGCAAGUGUUAUCCGGAAUCACUGGGCGUAAAGCGUCUGUAGGUGGUUCGAAAAGUCCACUGUUAAAAAUUGAGGCUUAACUUCAAAGAUGCCGUGGAAACUUUCAAACUAGAGUAUGGUAGGGGUAGAGGGAAUUUCCAGUGGAGCGGUGAAAUGCGUAGAUAUUGGAAAGACCACCGAUGGCGAAGGCGAGUCUCUGGACAUUUCCUGACGCUGAGGCACGAAAGCCAGGGGAGCAAACGGG